AGAGUUUGAUCAUGGCUCAGGAUGAACGCUGGCGGUAUGCUUUAACACAUGCAAGUCGAACGAGAGUUUUUGACUCUAGUGGCGAACGGGUGCGUAAUACGUGGGAAUCUGCCCUUAGGAGAAGAAUAACUACUGGAAACGGUAGCUAAGUCUUCAUAUGCCCGAGAGGUGAAAUAGUUUCAACUGCCUAUGGAUGAGCUCACGCCUGAUUAGCUAGUUGGUGAGGUAAUGGCUUACCAAGGCCACGAUCAGUAGCUUGAUUUGAGAGAAUGAUCAGCCACACUGGGACUGAGACACGGCCCAGACUCUUACGGGAGGCAGCAGUGAGGAAUUUUUCGCAAUGGGCGCAAGCCUGACGGAGCAAUACUGCGUGGAGGAUGAAGGCUCGUGGGCUGUAAACUCCUUUUCCUCGAGAAGAAGUUCUGACGGUAUCGGGGGAAUAAGCAUCAGCUAACUGCGUGCCAGCAGCUGCGGUAAUACGUGGGAUGCAAGCGUUGUCCGGAUUUAUUGGGCGUAAAGCGUCUGUAGGUGGCUUCGCAAGUUUGUUGUUAAAUCAUUCAGCUUAACUGAAUUCAAGCAGCAAAAACUAUGAAGCUUGAGUGCGGUAGAGGAAGAGGGAAUU
rnacentral:rRNA from 1 species